UGUUUCUCUCUCAGGACGAACGCUGGCGGCGUGCCUAAUACAUGCAAGUCGAGCGGACAGAUGGGAGCUUGCUCCCUGAUGUUAGCGGCGGACGGGUGAGUAACACGUGGGUAACCUGCCUGUAAGACUGGGAUAACUCCGGGAAACCGGGGCUAAUACCGGAUGGUUGUUUGAACCGCAUGGUUCAAACAUAAAAGGUGGCUUCGGCUACCACUUACAGAUGGACCCGCGGCGCAUUAGCUAGUUGGUGAGGUAACGGCUCACCAAGGCAACGAUGCGUAGCCGACCUGAGAGGGUGAUCGGCCACACUGGGACUGAGACACGGCCCAGACUCCUACGGGAGGCAGCAGUAGGGAAUCUUCCGCAAUGGACGAAAGUCUGACGGAGCAACGCCGCGUGAGUGAUGAAGGUUUUCGGAUCGUAAAGCUCUGUUGUUAGGGAAGAACAAGUACCGUUCGAAUAGGGCGGUACCUUGACGGUACCUAACCAGAAAGCCACGGCUAACUACGUGCCAGCAGCCGCGGUAAUACGUAGGUGGCAAGCGUUGUCCGGAAUUAUUGGGCGUAAAGGGCUCGCAGGCGGUUUCUUAAGUCUGAUGUGAAAGCCCCCGGCUCAACCGGGGAGGGUCAUUGGAAACUGGGGAACUUGAGUGCAGAAGAGGAGAGUGGAAUUCCACGUGUAGCGGUGAAAUGCGUAGAGAUGUGGAGGAACACCAGUGGCGAAGGCGACUCUCUGGUCUGUAACUGACGCUGAGGAGCGAAAGCGUGGGGAGCGAACAGGAUUAGAUACCCUGGUAGUCCACGCCGUAAACGAUGAGUGCUAAGUGUUAGGGGGUUUCCGCCCCUUAGUGCUGCAGCUAACGCAUUAAGCAC
rnacentral:rRNA from 1 species